rnacentral:tRNA from 1 species
GGAGAGAUGUCUGAGCUGGUUGAAGGAGCACGCCUGGAAAGCGUGUGUACACGUAAGUGUACCGAGGGUUCGAAUCCCUCUCUCUCCG